rnacentral:tRNA from 1 species
GGUGGCUCAAUGGUAGAGCGCUUGCCUUGCAUGCAUGAAGCCCUGGGUUCAAUUCCUCAGUACCA